CCUACGGGAGGCAGCAGUGAGGAAUAUUGGUCAAUGGACGAGAGGCUGAACCAGCCAAGUAGCGUGAAGGAUGACUGCCCUACGGGUUGUAAACUUCUUUUAUAUGGGAAUAAAGUGCUCCUCGGGUGGUGUUUUGUGUGUACCUUAUGAAUAAGGAUCGGCUAACUCCGUGCCAGCAGCCGCGGUAAUACGGAGGGUCCGAGCGUUAUCCGGAUUUAUUGGGGUUAAAGGGGGCGUAGGUGGCAUGUUAAGUCAGGUGUGAAAGUUUGGGGCUCAACCGUAAAAUUGCAGUUGAAACUGGCAGUCUUGAGUACAGUAGAGGUGGGCGGAAUUCGUGGUGUAGCGGUGAAAUGCGUAGAUAUCACGAAGAACUCCGAUUGCGAAGGCAGCUCACUGGACUGCAACUGACACUGAGGCUCGAAAGUGUGGGUAUCAAACAGGAUUAGAUACCCGAGUAGUC
rnacentral:rRNA from 1 species